AUGCUAGAAGCCGAACUAAAGACAUGCACAUCGAACUCUCAUUCUACAAGUAUGAACAAUGGCUUGGGGAGCAACUCUUCUGGUCCGCUCGCAAAGCCCGGGACAAAAAGUCUAAUUGCAAAGAUUGUGAGGAAAGACACACAUAACAUAGGCACGUGCGGUUCAUUCACCUCUUUAAAUCCGUUCGUUUCCGACACACGUGCAUGUGGCAACCACACGUCUUCGCAGCUCUUCUCAUCUUCCGAUUUUUCACCUUGUUGCUAG